GUGUCAGCCGCCGCGGUAAUACGUAGGUGGCAAGCGUUGUCCGGAAUUACUGGGCGUAAAGCGCGUGUAGGCGGUUUUUUAAGUGAGAUGUGAAAUCCCACGGCUUAACUUGGGGGCUGCAUUUGAAACUGGAUGACUUGAGUGCAGGAGAGGAAAGCAGAAUUCCUAGUGUAGCGGUGAAAUGCGUAGAGAUUUGGAGGAACACCAGUGGCGAAGGCGGCUUUCUGGACUGUAACUGACGCUGAGGCGUGAAAGCGUGGGGAGCAAACAGGAUUAGAUCCCCUGGUAGUCCACGCCGUAAACGAUGAGUGCUAAGUGUUGGGGGGAU
rnacentral:rRNA from 1 species